GAAUUAAAAGAAGCCAAAUCCUAAACCUCAUUUCCAAAAAAUCCAAUAGAAAAAUAAUCAUUUACAUGUUACAACUUGCACAUCAAUUUCUCACUUUGACAUCAGCCACAAAUUAUCUCAUCCCCUCAUGAAUCCUAUUAUUUAUUUACUCAGAAGCUCAAUUCAUGAUUUUCAAAAUUUCCCAUUUCAUAGCUUAUACAUAAACAUUAAACCCCUAGUUUAAAUUCAAAUCAACAAUUGCUUAAUGCCUGUUUUCAAGCCUGUACAAAAUUAAAAAUUUGAACCAACAAAAUCACACUAAUCUUAAAUCAAUCUACAUCACCAAUAAUUGUUUAUUUCAUGUAUAGACAUAAUCAUACACGAAUUAACAAAGAAAAACCCGGAAGUCGUUGAUGAAUUCUUCCCCUUUGUCGACGUAGAAAUCGUUGAACUUUUCGAGUUCCUAAUUGAGAACCAGAUCCGCAGAGGCGACGUUUUGCAUCAUGAUCCGGCAGAUAAUUCAUGGCAGAAUCGCGGUGGCGAUAAUUAUUCCAUACAGAUUCCUUCACGGAUUACAGUUGACAUCAAUUUAUUGGAAGUUCCAAAAAAAGAAAAAGAAAAAUGAGAGAGAAUCAAGCAAAUGUUGCCAAAUCAGCUUCAGUAUAACACCUGUGAAGGAGAAGUCUCUUUUUCCAAAAGAAAAAAGUAUGUAAAUUGGAUACAUCCUCUUAUCAAGAUGGAGUAUGACGG